CCAUUAGAGGGGGAUAACUUGGCGAAAGUCAAGCUAAUACCGCGUAAGCUCGGGAGAGGAAAGCAGGGGAUCUUAGGACCUUGCGCUGAUGGAGCGGCCGAUGACUGAUUAGCUAGUUGGUGGGGUAAAGGCCUACCAAGGCGACGAUCGGUAGCUGGUCUGAGAGGAUGAUCAGCCACACUGGGGAUGAGAGACGGCCCAGACUCCUACGGGAGGCAGCAGUGGGGAAUUUUGGACAAUGGGCGGAAGCCUGAUCCAGCAAUGCCGCGUGGGUGAAGAAGGCCUUAGGGUUGUAAAGCCCUUUCGGUAGGGAAGAAAAGGUAUUUUUAAAUAGAGGAUACUGAUGACGGUACCUGCAGAAGAAGCACCGGCAAACUACGUGCCAGCAGCCGCGGUAACACGUAGGGUGCGAGCGUUAAUCGGAAUUAUUGGGCGUAAAGGGUACGCAGGCGGGUGUGUAAGUCAGGUGUGAAAUUCCUGGGCUCAACUUGGGGACAGCACUUGAGACUGCAUAGCUAGAGUAUGGCAGAGGGGGGUGGAAUUUCACGUGUAGCAGUGAAAUGCGUAGAGAUGUGAAGGAACACCGAUGGCGAAGGCAGCCCCCUGGGCCGUUACUGACGCUCAUGUACGAAAGCGUGGGGAGCGAACAGGAUUAGAUACCCUGGUAGUCCACGCCCUAAACGAUGUCGACUAGUUGUUGGGGUUAUUAUAACUUUAGUAACGUAGCUAACGCGUGAAGUCGACCGCCUGGGGAGUACGAUCGCAAGAUUAAAACUCAAAGGAAUUGACGGGGACCCGCACAAGCGGUGGAUGAUGUGGAU
rnacentral:rRNA from 1 species